GCACACUGCGCUCCUUCCCCUGGCAUGUGGGCGGCGGGGCGAGCGGAGAGGCCCGCGGGGCUCGCGGGAGUCCAGGGGCAGACGGGAUGGGUCUCCGUGCUGAAACCCCCGGCGCUCCGGCUACACUGUGAAGCAUCCUGUGUGUGUGUGAAGCACCCGCCGUCAGUCAAGUAUGCCCGGUGCUUUCUCUCAGAACUCAUCAAAAAGCCCUCGGGAGGCUCGGUCACAAUCUCCGAGAGCACAGCCAUCAUCUCUCACGGUACCACAGGCCUGGUCACAUGGGACGCCACCCUCUGCCUUGCAGAAUGGGCCAUCGAGAACCCAGCAGCCUUCACUAACAGGUGACCUCGGGGCACAGGGCAGGGCACCAAGGCAGGCUUACCCUGGUGCAGUCGAAGACACGGUCCCCUUUCCUCCCGCCAGGACUGUCCUAGAACUUGGCAGUGGUGCCGGCCUCACAGGCCUUGCCAUCUGCAAGAUGUGCCGCCCCCGGGCAUACAUCUUCAGCGACCCUCACAGCCGGGUCCUCGAGCAGCUCCAAGGGAAUGUCUUUCUCAAUGGCCUCUCAUUAGAGGCAGACAUCACUGCCAACUUAGACAGCCCCAGGGUGACAGUGGCCCAGCUGGACUGGGACGUAGCGACGGUCCAUCAGCUCUCUGCCUUCCAGCCAGAUGUUGUCAUUGCAGCAGGUAAUGCCCAGCCCCGGGCACCC
rnacentral:lncRNA from 1 species